ACAGGUGGUCGGGUAGAGAAUACCAAGGCGCUUGAGAGAACUCGGGUGAAGGAACUAGGCAAAAUGGUACCGUAACUUCGGGAGAAGGUACGCUCUUGAUGGUGAAGUCCCUCGCGGAUGGAGCUGACGAGAGUCGCAGAUACCAGGUGGCUGCAACUGUUUAUUAAAAACACAGCACUGUGCAAAAUCGUAAGAUGACGUAUACGGUGUGACGCCUGCCCGGUGCC
rnacentral:rRNA from 1 species